rnacentral:rRNA from 1 species
UCCGGAGGGUGCAAGCGUUGUCCGGAUUUAUUGGGUUUAAAGGGUGCGUAGGCGGCCCGUUAAGUCAGUGGUGAAAGCCUCCAGCUCAACUGGAGAACUGCCAUUGAUACUGACGGGCUUGAGUACAGACGAGGUUGGCGGAAUUGAUUGUGUAGCGGUGAAAUGCAUAGAUACAAUCAAGAACUCCGAUUGCGUAGGCAGCUAACUAGGCUGUAACUGACGCUGAGGCACAAAAGCGUGGGGAGCGAACAGG